GUUGAGAGCAAGAGCCCGGAGAUGGAUUCUGAGACACGAAUCCAGGCCCUACGGGGCGCAGCAGGCGCGAAAACUUUACAAUGCGAGAAAUCGUGAUAAGGGAACCCCGAGCGCCCGUAAAUUCGGGCUGUCCGCCAGUGUAAAUAACUGGUGAAGAAAGGGCCGGGCAAGACCGGUGCCAGCCGCCGCGGUAAUACCGGCGGCUCGAGUGGUGGCCACUAUUACUGGGCUUAAAGCGUCCGUAGCCGGAUUGUUAAGUCUCUUGGGAAAUCCAUCGGCUCAACCGAUGGGCGUUCAGGAGAAACUGGCAAUCUAGGGACCGGGAGAGGUGAGAGGUACUCCAGGGGUAGGAGUGAAAUCCUGUAAUCCUUGGGGGACCACCUGUGGCGAAGGCGUCUCACUAGAACGGCUCCGACAGUGAGGGACGAAAACUGGGGGAGCAAACCGGAUUAGAUACCCGGGUAGUCCCAGCUGUAAACGAUGCGCGUUAGGUGUAUCGGUGACCACGAGUCAUCGAGGUGCCGAAGGGAAACCGUGAAACGUGCCGCCUGGGAAGUACGGUCGCAAGGCUGAAACU
rnacentral:rRNA from 1 species